rnacentral:rRNA from 2 species
UUAAGUGACUAAGCGUACACGGUGGAUGCCUGGGCAGUCAGAGGCGAUGAAGGACGUACUAACUUGCGAUAAGCGCAGAUAAGGCAGUAAGAGCCGUUUGAGUCUGCGAUUUCCGAAUGGGGAAACCCAACUGCAUAAGCAGUUACUGUUAACUGAAUACAUAGGUUAACAGAGCAAACCGGGGGAACUGAAACAUCUAAGUACCCCGAGGAGAAGAAAUCAACCGAGAUUCCGGUAGUAGCGGCGAGCGAACCUGGAUUAGCCCUUAAGCACUCGGUGAAGUAGGUGAACAAGCUGGAAAGCUUGGCGAUACAGGGUGAUAGCCCCGUAACCGACGCUUCAUCGAGCGUGAAAUCGAGUAGGGCGGGACACGUGAUAUCCUGUCUGAAUAUGGGGGGACCAUCCUCCAAGGCUAAAUACUCCUGACUGACCGAUAGUGAACCAGUACCGUGAGGGAAAGGCGAAAAGAACCCCUGUGAGGGGAGUGAAAUAGAACCUGAAACCGUGUACGUACAAGCAGUAGGAGCACCUUCGUGGUGUGACUGCGUACCUUUUGUAUAAUGGGUCAGCGACUUAUAUUCAGUGGCAAGGUUAACCGUAUAGGGGAGCCGUAGCGAAAGCGAGUCUUAACUGGGCGCUCAGUCUCUGGAUAUAGACCCGAAACCGGGUGAUCUAGCCAUGGGCAGGUUGAAGGUUGAGUAACAUCAACUGGAGGACCGAACCGACUAAUGUUGAAAAAUUAGCGGAUGACUUGUGGCUAGGGGUGAAAGGCCAAUCAAACUCGGAGAUAGCUGGUUCUCCCCGAAAGCUAUUUAGGUAGCGCCUCGGACGAAUACUACUGGGGGUAGAGCACUGUUAAGGCUAGGGGGUCAUCCCGACUUACCAACCCUUUGCAAACUCCGAAUACCAGUAAGUACUAUCCGGGAGACACACGGCGGGUGCUAACGUCCGUCGUGGAGAGGGAAACAACCCAGACCGCCAGCUAAGGUCCCAAAGUAUUGCUAAGUGGGAAACGAUGUGGGAAGGCUCAGACAGCUAGGAUGUUGGCUUAGAAGCAGCCAUCAUUUAAAGAAAGCGUAAUAGCUCACUAGUCGAGUCGGCCUGCGCGGAAGAUGUAACGGGGCUAAGCAAUACACCGAAGCUGCGGCAAUAUCUUUUAGAUAUUGGGUAGGGGAGCGUUCUGUAAGCCGUUGAAGGUGAAUCGUAAGGUUUGCUGGAGGUAUCAGAAGUGCGAAUGCUGACAUGAGUAACGACAAAGGGGGUGAAAAACCUCCUCGCCGGAAGACCAAGGGUUCCUGUCCAACGUUAAUCGGGGCAGGGUGAGUCGACCCCUAAGGUGAGGCCGAAAGGCGUAAUCGAUGGGAAACGGGUUAAUAUUCCCGUACUUCUGACUAUUGCGAUGGGGGGACGGAGAAGGCUAGGUGGGCCAGGCGACGGUUGUCCUGGUUCAAGUGCGUAGGCUUGAGAGUUAGGUAAAUCCGGCUCUCUCUAAGGCUGAGACACGACGUCGAGCUGCUACGGCAGUGAAGUCAUUGAUGCCAUGCUUCCAGGAAAAGCCUCUAAGCUUCAGAUAGUCAGGAAUCGUACCCCAAACCGACACAGGUGGUCGGGUAGAGAAUACCAAGGCGCUUGAGAGAACUCGGGUGAAGGAACUAGGCAAAAUGGUACCGUAACUUCGGGAGAAGGUACGCUCUUGAUGGUGAAGUCCCUCGCGGAUGGAGCUGACGAGAGUCGCAGAUACCAGGUGGCUGCAACUGUUUAUUAAAAACACAGCACUGUGCAAAAUCGCAAGAUGACGUAUACGGUGUGACGCCUGCCCGGUGCCGGAAGGUUAAUUGAUGGGGUUAGCGCAAGCGAAGCUCUUGAUCGAAGCCCCGGUAAACGGCGGCCGUAACUAUAACGGUCCUAAGGUAGCGAAAUUCCUUGUCGGGUAAGUUCCGACCUGCACGAAUGGCGUAAUGAUGGCCACGCUGUCUCCACCCGAGACUCAGUGAAAUUGAAAUCGCUGUGAAGAUGCAGUGUACCCGCGGCUAGACGGAAAGACCCCGUGAACCUUUACUACAGCUUGGCACUGAACAUUGAACCUACAUGUGUAGGAUAGGUGGGAGGCUAUGAAGACGUGACGCCAGUUGCGUUGGAGCCGUCCUUGAAAUACCACCCUUGUAUGUUUGAUGUUCUAACUUAGACCCAUUAUCUGGGUUGAGGACAGUGCCUGGUGGGUAGUUUGACUGGGGCGGUCUCCUCCCAAAGAGUAACGGAGGAGCACGAAGGUGGGCUAAUCACGGUUGGACAUCGUGAGGUUAGUGCAAUGGCAUAAGCCCGCUUAACUGCGAGAAUGACGGUUCGAGCAGGUGCGAAAGCAGGUCAUAGUGAUCCGGUGGUUCUGUAUGGAAGGGCCAUCGCUCAACGGAUAAAAGGUACUCCGGGGAUAACAGGCUGAUACCGCCCAAGAGUUCAUAUCGACGGCGGUGUUUGGCACCUCGAUGUCGGCUCAUCACAUCCUGGGGCUGAAGUCGGUCCCAAGGGUAUGGCUGUUCGCCAUUUAAAGUGGUACGCGAGCUGGGUUUAGAACGUCGUGAGACAGUUCGGUCCCUAUCUGCCGUGGGCGUUGGAAGAUUGAAGGGGGCUGCUCCUAGUACGAGAGGACCGGAGUGGACGAACCUCUGGUGUUCGGGUUGUGUCGCCAGACGCAUUGCCCGGUAGCUAAGUUCGGAAUUGAUAAGCGCUGAAAGCAUCUAAGCGCGAAGCGAGCCCUGAGAUGAGUCUUCCCUGA